AAGACCUUGCACUUUUGGAGCGGCCGAUGUCUGAUUAGCUAGUUGGUGGGGUAAUGGCCUACCAAAGCGUCGAUCAGUAGCUGGUCUGAGAGGACGGCCCGCCACACUGGGACUGAGACACGGCCCAGACUCCUACGGGAGGCAGCAGUGGGGAAUUUUGGACAAUGGGCGCAAGCCUGAUCCAGCCAUGCCGCGUGAGUGAAGAAGGCCUUCGGGUUGUAAAGCUCUUUCAGCCGGGAAGAAAAGGUUGCGAUUAAUAAUCGCAAUUUAUGACGGUACCGGAAGAAGAAGCACCGGCUAACUACGUGCCAGCAGCCGCGGUAAUACGUAGGGUGCGAGCGUUAAUCGGAAUUACUGGGCGUAAAGGGUGCGCAGGCGGUUUUGUAAGUCAGAUGUGAAAUCCCCGGGCUUAACCUGGGAACU
rnacentral:rRNA from 1 species